rnacentral:sRNA from 1 species
CUCCACAUUUUGACGGCUUUCCCUGGUUCUGUGAAUUCCUUCCAAGUUGCUGCCAUCUUUCCACUAAUAAGCUGCCCAAUACACUGUACCGGUCACCUCCCUGGAGCCUCUCACAGCCUCCUGGAUGAUCUUCAGCCUCUAUUCUGGAAAAACCAAGGCUUACACCACCCACUACAAUGCUCUUUCAGCCCUGUGCUCUCCAGGUGGCCUUGGCUGUUACAUCUUGUCGUUCAUCACCCCUACCACCUUUGCAAGAUUAAGAUUGUUAAUAAAGAUGUUAACACGUUCUCUAGGCCUCACUCCAACCUCGCCAUAGCUGGCCCGCUAUCUGGGGCCCUCUGCUCAAGAAAAGAAACUGCAUUUUAUCAUAAGUUCUGUUGUUUACCGUCUCCUGAUGGCCUGGAGCUUUUGGCUGUCUUGCUUAAAUGUGACUCAAAGCAGUUAAAAAAUAAAGAAGGAAAUAAAAUGAAAAACAACAACAGAAAGAAGAAAAGGGCAACCUCAGCCUGAUGAAAGACUUGGAAGAGUGAGACCUCUCCCUCUCCGGAAUAAAUUGCUAGUUGCCUUUCA